rnacentral:rRNA from 1 species
GACGAACGCUGGCGGCGUGCUUAACACAUGCAAGUCGAACGGAAAGGCCCUGCUUUUGUGGGGUGCUCGAGUGGCGAACGGGUGAGUAACACGUGAGUAACCUGCCCUUGACUGUGGGAUAACUUCAGGAAACUGGGGCUAAUACCGGAUAGGAGCUCCUGCUGCAGGGUGGGGGUUGGAAAGUUUCGGCGGUUGGGGAUGGACUCGCGGCUUAUCAGCUUGUUGGUGGGGUAGUGGCUUACCAAGGCUUUGACGGGUAGCCGGCCUGAGAGGGUGACCGGCCACCUUGGGCCUGAGGUACGGCCCAGACUCCUACGGGAGGCAGCAGUGGGGAAUAUUGCACAAUGGGCGGACGCCUGAUGCAGCAACGCCGCGUGCGGGAUGACGGCCUUCGGGUUGUAAACCGCUUUCGCCUGUGACGAAGCGUGAGUGACGGUAAUGGGUAAAGAAGCACCGGCUAACUACGUG